rnacentral:rRNA from 1 species
GAAUAUUAGAAAUGGACGAAAGUCUGAUCUAGCAACACCGCGUGUGCGAAGAAGGCCUUUGGGUCGUAAAGCACUUUUUGGAAGGAAUAGGAAGGAAUGUACUUCCAGAAUAAGUCUCGGCUAACUACGUGCCAGCAGCCGCGGUAACACGUAGGAGGCAAACGUUAUCCGGAUUUACUGGGCGUAAAGCGCGUGUAGGUGGUACUGUAAGUAGGGCGUGAAAGCUCCUGGCUCAACUGGGAGAGGCCGUUCUAAACUACAGAACUAGAGGAUGGUAGAGGGAGGUGGAAUUCCAGGUGUAGCGGUGGAAUGCGCAGAUAUCUGGAGGAACACCGGUGGCGAAGGCGGCCUCCUGGACCAUUCCUGACACUCAGACGCGAAAGCUAGGGUAGCAAACGG